rnacentral:rRNA from 1 species
CAGCAGCCGCGGUAAUACGAAGGGUGCAAGCGUUACUCGGAAUUACUGGGCGUAAAGCGUGCGUAGGUGGUGGUUUAAGUCCGUUGUGAAAGCCCUGGGCUCAACCUGGGAAUUGCAGUGGAUACUGGGUCACUAGAGUGUGGUAGAGGAUAGUGGAAUUUCCGGUGUAGCGGUGAAAUGCGUAGAUAUAGGAAGGAACAUCAGUGGCGAAGGCGACCACCUGGACUGAUACUGACACUGAGGUGCGAAAGCGUGGGGAGCAAACAGGAUUAGAUACCCCUGUAGUCCCUGUCUCUUAUAC